rnacentral:lncRNA from 1 species
GAGCAGCCGAAGGAGAGAGGAGGAGUGAUGUGGAGCGCAGUGGUGGCCAUAAUCAGAAGGUUGCCGUUUGAGUCCCAAACUGCCAAGGUACCACUGAGGUGCCACUGAGCAAAGCACCGUCCCCACACACUGCUCCCCGGGCGCCUGUCAUGGCUGCCCACUGCUCACCAAGGGUGAUGGUUAAAAACAGAGGACACAUUUCGUUGUGUCUCCGUGUUCUGUGCUGCAGUGUUUCACAAUGACAAUCACUUCACUUCACUUACUGCAUAAAGUAUUUUUCUAAUUGAAUUCAAAAUUUGUGCAUAUAUAAAUCUUUCAAUCACUUUAUUUUUUCAAUGAACACGUUUGUGAUUUUUAAUCAAUUUAUUUUCACUGAACCUGCCAACAUCCGAACAUCAGCCAAUAGAUUUACACUUGACCAUUUAUGGUGGUGUGGUCUACUGCUUUAUAUAUAAAACCUGGGCUUUUCCUGUAAGCAUAUGGGGGCAACACACCUCAGAAGAGAUGGAUGAUUGUCUUUUGCUCAUGAUGGUGAUGAUUUUUAUCAGUGUAAAUACUACCAAGCUUGGAGAACAGACUACACCACUGCCAUACAUGAAAAAAGCAAUAACAAGAAGAGUAAAUGCUGGAGAUACAGUAAUUCUGCACUGCGAUGAGGAACACCGUAAGAAGACUGACUGGUACGGGCAUUCAGACCAGGCAGCGCUCUUCAAAAUUACAGCCAGCAAGACAUCAGAUAAUCAAGACAAAAUAUUUUUUAUCUGGGGCUACACACCAGAAAUCACUGCAACAUGGAAUCCUAAUAACCAGUCCUUCAGUCUGACCAUCAAGAACAUGACUGUACCUACACAAGGCUUCUACUACUGCACCACUGGAGAAGGUGUUUUAACCGUCACUGGAACCCUUCACAUCCUUGUUAUCCAUGACAAGGUGGAAGUAACAACAACCGGAUCAACUUUAAUGAUCACUGAUCGCUCUCAAACUACAUCGGCUCUGGUCCCAGUCUGUUGGACACUCACACCGAUUUUAUGUUCAGCCUGCACUGCUCUGACUGCACUGGGUUGCUGCCUCCACCACAGAAAAAAAAACAACAGGACAAACCAGGGAAAAACACACGAAACACAUCAGGGAGAUGACAAUCAGGAUGAAGAUGGAACAUUACAGUACAGUACUUUACACUUCUCCAAACAACAGAGACGUUCCAAAAAAAAGAAUGUAAAUCAGUCAAAUGAAGAUGCCAUACUGUACAGCUCCUUGCCUUUUCACACA